CAUGGACAAGGAGCAGGAGAAACAGAAGGAGAGCUACUGGAGCAGAAUCAAGAAGGGGACAAAGUGUUUCGACAUAUGGGCAAAUGGACAAAAGGAAGGCGAGACCUGGGAAACCUCGCAGCUCUUUCGCUCCUAGCUGGGGUCACCAACUGAUAAAGACCAUCGACUGUCCGAGACUCUCAGGAGGUUUGGCAUCCACCAGAACCAGUGAGUUUGAAGCAGUCGGAUUCUCUGUGCUCUGAGUCGGAGGGGGACCAGCUUGAGGACCUAGGGCCCAACACCCAGACGUGGAUCCACCUGAUGUCCUCCAUUGCCAACCAUUCUACAAUUUUUCGUUACAUCAUCUACAGUUACUGUUGUUGUCAUUAUCUGCUAAGAAYGUUUUCUUGCUCUAUCAUACUGGGCACAUAUGUGAGAUACAUAGAUGAACUAAAAACACUAGCACUAGAAACACUCAGAACAAAGAGAGCAGCAGUGCCUGCUCUUUGCAGACUCCCUCUUCAAGUCCCCCUUCCAAGACUGGCUGCCUGUUGAGAACAAGUGACAGGCAGAACCUCCCGCCCGCACAGCAAGCACCUCCUCUAUAUUCCACACACCAGAAUUCAGUAUUUUAGUCUAUGAUUGCCAUGUGAGUGUACAAAAACAAUGAAUGACACAACUGUACUAAAAACGAUCAAAGUUUAUGUAUUUAAAUAUUGCCAGGUUGGUUUUCAUAGCUGUGUCAUAAGGUGUUCAUUAUUGUAAGUUGUAAGGUAUCA